rnacentral:rRNA from 1 species
GAGGGGCAUCGGGAGGGAAGCUUGCUUUCCUUGCCGGCGACCGGCGCACGGGUGAGUAACACGUAUGCAACCUGCCCUCUUCAGGGGGACAACCUUCCGAAAGGGAGGCUAAUCCCGCGUAUAUCGGUUUCGGGCAUCCGAGAUCGAGGAAAGAUUCAUCGGAAGAGGAUGGGCAUGCGGCGCAUUAGCUUGACGGCGGGGUAACGGCCCACCGUGGCGACGAUGCGUAGGGGUUCUGAGAGGAAGGUCCCCCACACUGGUACUGAGACACGGACCAGACUCCUACGGGAGGCAGCAGUGAGGAAUAUUGGUCAAUGGGAGAGAUCCUGAACCAGCCAAGCCGCGUGAGGGAAGACGGCCCUAUGGGUUGUAAACCUCUUUUGUCGGAGAACAAAACCCGGGACGUGUCCCGGACUGCGUGUAUCCCGAAGAAAAAGCAUCGGCUAACUCCGUGCCAGCAGCCGCGGUAAUACGGAGGAUGCGAGCGUUAUCCGGAUUUAUUGGGUUUAAAGGGUGCGUAGGCGGUCCGUUAAGUCAGCGGUAAAAUUGCGGGGCUCAACCCCGUCGAGCCGUUGAAACUGGCAGACUUGAGUUGGCGAGAAGUACGCGGAAUGCGCGGUGUAGCGGUGAAAUGCAUAGAUAUCGGGAAGAACUCCGAUUGCGAAGGCAGCGUACCGGCGCCAGACUGACGC